AUUGAACGCUGGCGGCAGGCCUAACACAUGCAAGUCGAGCGGAUGAAGGGAGCUUGCUCCUGGAUUCAGCGGCGGACGGGCGAGUAAUGCCUAGGAAUCUGCCUGGUAGUGGGGGAUAACGUCCGGAAACGGGCGCUAAUACCGCAUACGUCCUGAGGGAGAAAGUGGGGGAUCUCCGGACCUCACGCUAUCAGAUGAGCCUAGGUCGGAUUCGCUAGUUGGUGGGGUAAAGGCCUACCAAGGCGACGAUCCGUAACUGAUCUGAGAGGAUGAUCAGUCACACUGGAACUGAGACGCGGUCCAGACUCCUACGGGAGGCAGCAGUGGGGAAUAUUGGGCAAUGGGCGAAAUCCUGAUCCAGCCAUGCCGCGUGUGUGAAGAAGGUCUUCGGAUUGUAAAACACUUUAAGUUGGGAGGAAGGGCAGUAAGUUAAUACCUUGCUGUUUUGACGUUACCAAAAGAAUAAGCACCGGCUAACUUCGUG
rnacentral:rRNA from 1 species